rnacentral:piRNA from 1 species
UCNCACUGGGGACCAUAACUAAGAUGAGAGC